rnacentral:rRNA from 1 species
AAAGCGUGCGCAGGCGGUUUUGUAAGUCUGUCGUGAAAUCCCCGGGCUCAACCUGGGAAUGGCGAUGGAGACUGCAAGGCUAGAAUCUGGCAGAGGGGGGUAGAAUUCCACGUGUAGCAGUGAAAUGCGUAGAUAUGUGGAGGAACACCGAUGGCGAAGGCAGCCCCCUGGGCUAAGAUUGACGCUCAUGCACGAAAGCGUGGGGAGCAAACAGGAUUAGAUACCCGGGU